rnacentral:rRNA from 1 species
AUGCCGCCGUCGUCGUCGUCCUCGGUCCAACGCGCGACCAGCGACGCGCUCAUCGGUCCCGACUGGGCGACCAACCUCGAGAUCUGCGACACCCUCAACCGCGAUCCAGGGCAUACAAAAGAUGUUGUCAAGUCGCUCAAGAAACGCAUUGCGCACAAGAACUCGAAGGUCCAGCUUCUCGCCCUCACGUUGCUGGAGACAAUGAUUAAAAAUUGCGGGGACAUUGUCCAUAUGCAUGUUGCUGAGAGAGACAUACUUCAUGAAAUGGUGAAGAUAGUAAAGAAAAGGCCUGAUUAUCACGUAAAAGAGAAGAUUCUCACGCUGAUCGACACUUGGCAAGAAUUUUUUGGCGGCGCACGUUCAAAAUAUCCGCAAUACUAUGCAUCAUACCAGGACCUUUUGCGUGCCGGAGCUGUAUUUCCUCAAAGAACAAAUGGAUCUGUGCCAAUAUUUACUCCUCCUCAGACUCAGCCUCUACAAAACUAUCCUCCUGCUCCACGUGAUGCUGACCACGAGGCUCCUGAAUCGUCAGCGCAGGAUUUUCCUGCCGCAAGCCUGGCAGAUAUUCAGAAUGCACGGGGUAUCGUGGACGUUCUUUCGGAGAUGUUGAAUGCUUUAGAUCCUAGUAAAAGACAGGAACUUCGUCAGGAGGUCAUCGUCGACCUUGUGGAUCAGUGCCGCACAUACAAGGAGAGAGUGGUGCAGCUUGUCAAUAGUACCUCGGAUGAGGGGUUGCUCAGCCAGGGUCUUUGUUUGAAUGAUGAUCUGCAGCGUGUUUUAGCAAAACACGACGCUAUUGCCGCAGGCAUAGAGGUUCCGGUGGAGAAGCAGAGAUCGCUCCAUUCCACGCCAGCAAAGCCAGAUACUACAAAAGAAGCAGUGCAGAGGUCUUCAGCAACUACUACAAGUGCAAGCAAGCAGUCACCCUUUGAACAAUUAGCACUUCCUGCACCUACAUCAUCUAGCAGUGCAAAAGCUGUUGUUGCAGCACCAGCUCCGAGUUUCGACCUCCUUAGUGGAGACGAAUACAUCAAACCUGAACCUGAAAAUUCGCUGGCGCUUGUUCCUGUCAGUGAAUACUCAGCUUCAGACCAAAAUGUAUUGGCACUUGCAGACAUGUUCCAGCAAAAUAGUGCUGCUGCCAACAAUAGAAACCAUAACCAGCUUACAAACUCUUUUAUUUCCCCUGCAUCUCGAGCAAACACUGCUCCAGUGCACCCUGUCCUGCCUCAGCAACCCACUACUUAUUCAAACGUGGACAUCGUACCUUACGGUCAACAAUCUCAACUGAACGCCACAAGGUCAUGGAAUGGGCAGCCUGCUUAUGGAGUGGAUUCUCAACGGCAAACACUAAAUUAUGGUGUAGAGGAUCGAAACGGCAGCCUUCCACCACCACCCUGGGAAAUUCAGUUGACGGGUAACCGACCCCAAGACAGCCAACUUGGUGCAAUGUCACUGCAUCCACAGCAACCUGCGGGGGUGCAACCCCAAUCAGCACAGAUUGGUCAAGGAUUCAUGUCAACACAACAAAUGCAGAGGCAGCAACCACCACCACGGUAUGUGCCGGACAUGCAGUACGGGGGCAUGUACCCUAACUCGAUGCAAAUGAACCAAGGAACGGGCAUGAACUCCCAACCGAUUGUCGGUGGACGGUUUUAUGGGAUGAACUAUCAACAGUCAUAUGCAGUUCAAAUGGCCGGUUAUGGGUAUGGGCAGCAAUCUGGGGGAUACUAUAUCCCGAACGCUGCAUACGCGUAUACCAGUGCAAAUGAACUUUCUCAGAGAAUGAAUGGAGCAACGCCAUCCGUUUCCCUGAAGCAGCAGAGCAAAGCAAGCAGACCAGAAAACUCGCUCUUUGGCGAUCUUCUUAGCAUGGCCAAAAUGAAGCAGAGCAAACCUGCAGCUGGUAAGGUCGGUGGCUUGUAA